GUUUUGUUGUGUGGUCCAGUAUGCCCUUUGACUCUCAACCCGACAUUAGGUAGAACUCAAACUCGGCCCUCUGCAAUAUCAGCGAGGCAAGCAUGUCAUCUCACCUUCUUCAGCCUCAGAUCCGCCGUUUGCCUGCAACACCCCUGAAAACACACACAACGGAUAAUACAGAUCAAACAGUAUUAGCCAACAAGACAAACCUCGUUGAAGUAAAUGUUGAUGGCAAUCCGCACCCCCUUCUUUAACAAAUACUACAACUUGCUCAAGAAAUUAAGUACCAAGACGUCUUGCAUCAGCCUAGCACGCCACAUCUUCUCCAAUGUUGGCUACAGCAACACUUCAAACAGCAGAGCCUUGAUGAGUCCGACUUUCGUCCCAUCGUUGAUGUUGCUUAGCAACGAUUCAAUGCUGGACAUGGACAACUUGUUCCAGACGAGUUGCUGAAGUGGACAAGAUUUGUCAUUACACAGCAGAUAGAGCAGGCGUUAAGUGACUUUCUGUAAAUGUGACUGACCUCCAUUAUUAUGAUGUUGCUCUGAAAUAGUGUGACCCUGACGCCUGAGGAGCAGUCUGUGAUUGACGCCAUUUAGCAGCAGCUGUUUACUGACAUACCCGAUUUUGGGUUUGUUGAAUUUGGCAUCUGGACUUGCACCAUCUCUGUCUGUAUCCCAUUCAAAGCAGCAGCAACAUUAACAACAACAACAGAGCCUGUUCCUCCUGGUCCAGGACCUUUGGGCAAAUGUUCAAAUAGUACUACCCACAGGAUGAAGCCACUCUGAAUCCGGGGCUCCAUACUUUCUUGGCCAGGGGCCAAGACUACCUCGUCAAUAAGCAAAAAAUUGGCUAAUAGAUGAAUAAGCUGUGAUGUGGAAAAAUGGGGCCUAAUGCAUGUGCUUAAAUUGUUGUCACAGAUUAGCCUGUGCAGUCCACACAGGCUAAUCAUGGACAACACUUUCCUCUUAAAGCAGAGCACCAGCAUUGAUAUCGAGUUGGCCCAGCAACCGCACAAGUCCCGCCUGCAGGAGCCCCAGUCCAGAACGACCCUUCCCCUCCCCAAACUUCUAACUCCUCCCCCUUGACCUCCUGACUCAAAAAGUCAGCAUCAUUGAACAACUCCGUUCUGCAGUAAAUUCUGAGCAUGAUUCUGUUCUGAACAAACGCAAUGCCCACGUCAAGUUGUCAACACAUAAGCCUGGGUAGUUUUGUUAAGCUAAAGUUCCGCGUGGGCCUGAGAGGGACGAGUUUUACAGACACGAAAAGUUAUAGCAGUAGUUAUGGUAACGCUAACAGUCAGUUGUUGCUGUUGGACAUCACAACGAAUAUCAUGAAGAAUAAAAAGUUCAAUAACUUGUUCCAAUCUUUAUGGGACAAACAGAAAUUGAACAGGAGAAAAUCAAGGAACAAUACAAUCGUAAGCUCUCCUAGUAGGAUACUUCUGCUGCUGAUAGUUUGGACGACAGUAGGGUUACAGACUGCCCAAGAUUGUCCUCGCAGUGGCCGCCAAAAUAUCAUAAUAGACUUUUGGCAAUGUUACUGACAAAGAAAGGCAGUAAUGACUUGGUUGUGAAUACCCAGAGCACGAUACAUCCAUGCUGACUCAGAAUGGCAGUAAUGACUUGGUUGUGAACACAUCGAGCACGAUACAUCCAUGCUGACAGAGAAAGGCAGUAAUGACUUGGUUGUGAAUACCCAGAGCACGAUACAUCCAUGCUGACAUAAAAAGGCAGUGAUGACUUGGUUGUGAACACCCAGAGCACAAUACAUCCAUGGGGUGUGCAUCAGAUGGAAUUUUGCCUAUUAUUGUUAACAAGUUGCUAAGAGUGAACACGUCUGGUUUUGUUAUGAGCACUUCCCACUCAGAGCCCAAAGGUCCUCGCAUUGAAGCGAUGCAAAAGAAGACUUUGAAAAAUGACAGCAGUUGUGUUGUGUGGUCCAGUAAUCCUUUCAACUCUCAACCUGAAGUUUAUCAAAACUCAAACUCAGCCCUUUGCAAUAUCACACCUUGCAACACAGUGUACUUUACCAUGAAUGUUUUGCGGUUUAAAACACCAAAAUUUCAAUUAAAAGUUUGUGCUCGUAACAUAUUGAUACAUUGCUAUUCUGAGUUCUAAUUAUGAUAUCCUUAAUAUCAAUAAUAGAUGAAAUGUUUGGCAUUAAAAAAACAGGUGUGUAAAGUAAUUUGUUACAGUGCAUAUUCAUUUGUCACUAAAAAAAUUAGGGUUAAGUUUACUUGUCAUUUCCUUUUUAGCAAACAUUAUUAGACAACAAAACAAACGUCGUUUAAGUGAAAGUCCAAGACAAUUCUGACCUAGUUUGGGCACAAGUACAACAACUAAGUAAAGAAAUUCACUUUGUCUUGCAUCAGCCUACAUGUAGAAAGCCUCUUAUAAACAUCUCCCAAGUUGGCUACAUCAACGCUUCCAACAGCGUAACUUGGCAUCGACACAUUGUUCCGAACGAGUCGCUCGAACUGAAACGAUCUGAUCCAACAGAGAGCAGGCUCUGCGUGACUCGUCUGUUAAUGUGACUGACCUGGAUAUGUUGCUUUCCAAUAAUAUGAGCCUUACUCCAGAUUAGCUGUCUGCGAUUGACGCAAUUCAACAACAGUGCUUGUCAGGAAUUUCCGGCUUUGGGAUGGCAAUUUGGCGUCGGGGCUUCAUCUCUGUCUUUGGCCUGGUCGCAGCAGAAGCAGCAACAAGAACAACAAUUAGUAUAAGAGCCUUCAUCUGGGAUAUUGGGUUUCAUGUAUGUGCUUAAAGUCUCAUCCCAUAUUAUACUGUGCAGACUGCACAUACAUUAAGUCCUAUUUAAGUGUCAUCCCAGAUUAGCUUGUGCAGACUGCACAUACAUUAAGUCCUUUUAAAGUGUCAUUCCAGAUUAGCCUGUGCAUACUGCACAUACAUUAAGUCAUAUUAAAGUGUCAUCCCAUAUUAGCCUGUGCAGACUGCACAUACAUUAAGUCCUAUAAAAGUGUCAUCUCAGAUUAGCCUGUGCAGACUGCACAUACAUUAAGUCCUAUUAAAGUGUCAUCUCAGAUUAGCCUGUGCAGACUGCACAUACAUUAAGUCCUAUUAAAGUGUCAUCCCAGAUUAGCCUAUGCAGACUGCACAUACAUUAAGUCCUAUUAAAGCGUCAUCCCAGAUUAGCCUAUGCAGACUGCACAUACAUUAAGUCCUAUUAAAGUGUCAUCUCAGAUUAGCCUGUGCAGACUGCACAUACAUUAAGUCCUAUUAAAGCGUCAUUCCAGAUUAGCCUAUGCAGACUGCACAUACAUUAAGUCCUAUUAAAGUGUCAUCCCAGAUUAGCCUAUGCAGACUGCACAUACAUUAAGCCCUAUUAAAGUAUCAUCUCAGAUUAGCCUGUGCAGACUGCACAUACAUUAAGUCCUAUUAAAGUGUCAUCCCAGAUUAGCCUGUGCAGACUGCACGUACAUCAAGCCCUAUUAAAGUGUCAUUCCAUAUUAGCCUGUGCAGACUGCACAUACAUUAAGCCCUAUAAAAGUGUCAUCCCAGAUUAGCCUGUGCAGACUGCACAUACAUUAAGCCCUAUUUUCCCAGAAUGAGGCUCGUAUACUACACUUAACAUCAGUAUUUUAUGUGCCUGAAAAGUUCCUAGCAUCAAAUGGGAAUUAUGUGCUUUUAAAUUGAUCACACUUAGUUAAUAAAAUGCAAAUAGCACUUGAUCUGAUAUCAAUUUUAAUCAUAGAAGGGUAGGGCAUUAAGUUUUGUAUAUUUUCGACCAAAACUCAGCCCCUGAACCAAAAGUUUAUCGUUGCAGAAAAAUCUGCUUUAAUAGAGUUGUUAAAUUAUAUUUAAUUUUAGAAAAAUAAUUAUGUAAAAGCCUUCAGCUCAUUUCAAAAUUAUUUUCUUCAUUUAUUUUCAAUAUUUAUUUAAAUUUCUGGAUUUUGUUUUUAGAGCCUGUUCCUUCAGGAACCCAUGCAAUCAUAGAUCGGUACCUAGCUGAACAACAGGCUGUCUGGUUAGCUCGGCCCAGGGCCCAGUGACACUUCCUGGCCCAGGACCUUGGGGCCAAUGCUCAACUAGUCCUACCCGCAGGGUGGAGCCACACUGAACCUGGGGCUUCAUACUUUCUUGGCCAGGGGCCAAGAUAUCCUCGUCAAUU